CCAGUGUGGACCCAUGAAAUUCGAAAAGGUGAAUAUCAAAGCAUGGUUAAUAUGCAAGCAAAAGUCACAAAGGAUAGAGAGAGGCUUUUGAAAAUGCUGCAACAUUAAAAUUGGAAGAAUUCAAGCAAUUCAAGUGGUUCCUGAAGGACGGUGACAUCCUGGCAGGCCUCCCAUGCAUCCCAAGCAGCCGACUGGAGAAUGCAGACAUGUUUGAUCUAGUGGAUCUGAUGCUGCAGACCUACACCAACAGUCUGUGGAGGUGACCAAGAAGGUUUCAGGACAAUAAACAGGAAUGAUCUGGUGCAGACAUUGCUAGACACCAGUUCAGAAUCCAAGGGUAACUGGAACUGCAACCAUUUCUCCUAGAAAUGUUUGCUUAAACUAUAAAUCAGUUAUUGGAUGGUUACUGAUGUUAUGAGCUGAUUUGAAAUACAGAUGUAAACACAAUCAUAACUCAGGUUAGAUGACUUUAAGGUUAAAAAUUGUGUGAUUUCUGUCUCAUUACACUUUUAAAGGUUCAGUGUGUAACUUUUCUGAGGAUCUAUCGACAGAAAUGCAAUAUAAGAUCCAUAACCAUGUUUUCAGUGGUGUGUAAAGACCUUACAUAAUAAACUAUUAUGUUUUUAUUACCUUAGAAUGAGCCAUUUAUAUCGCAUAACCGGGCACCCCCUUCCACGCAUUGUCUGUUUCUACAGUAGCUGAAAUCGGACAAACAGCGCUACAGAGCGCGUUUCGUCACUACGUUCUUCUGCUUCUGGUAGAAUUCAGGCAGUGUAGACACUCAUCACUGUGUUGAAUACGUACGU